rnacentral:tRNA from 1 species
CGCGGCGCCUGCCGGGCAGCCGGCGCUCUCAUAAGGCGCUCGUCGAGGGUUCGACUCCCUCCGUCGCGAC